rnacentral:rRNA from 1 species
AUUGAACGCUGGCGGCAGGCCUAACACAUGCAAGUCGAGCGGAGCGGCGGACGGGUGAGUAAUGCCUAGGAAUCUGCCUGGUAGUGGGGGAUAACGUCCGGAAACGGGCGCUAAUACCGCAUACUAUCAGAUGAGCCUAGGUCGGAUUAGCUAGUUGGUGGGGUAAAGGCCUACCAAGGCGACGAUCCGUAACUGGUCUGAGAGGAUGAUCAGUCACACUGGAACGGAGACACGGUCCAGACUCCUAGGGGAGGCCGCAGGGGGGAAUAUUGGACAAUGGGCGAAAGCCUGAUCCAGCCAUGCCGCGUGUGUGAAGAAGGUCUUCGGGUUGUAAAGAACUUUCAGUCGGGAGGCGUUACCGACAGAAGAAGCACCGGCUAACUCCGUGCCAGCAGCCGCGGUAAUAC